UACGUAGGGUGCAAGCGUUGUCCGGAAUUAUUGGGCGUAAAGAGCUCGUAGGUGGCGGGUCACGUCGGGUGUGAAAGCCCGGGGCUUAACCCCGGGUCUGCAUUCGAUACGGGCUUGCUAGGGUCCGGCAGGGGAGACUGGAAUUCCUGGUGUAGCGGUGAAAUGCGCAGAUAUCAGGAGGAACACCGGUGGCGAAGGCGGGUCUCUGGGCCGGUACCGACGCUGAGGAGCGAAAGCGUGGGGAGCGCACAGG
rnacentral:rRNA from 1 species